rnacentral:rRNA from 1 species
AUACGGGAGGCAGCAGUGAGGAAUAUUGCGCAAUGGACGAAAGUCUGACGCAGCCAUGCCGCGUGAAGGAUUGAAGGCCCUAUGGGUUGUAAACUUCUUUUGUAUGGGAAUAAACGCUACUACGUGUAGUAGCCUGAAGGUACCAUAAGAAUAAGCACCGGCUAACUCCGUGCCAGCAGCCGCGGUAAUACGGAGGGUGCAAGCGUUAUCCGGAUUUAUUGGGUUUAAAGGGUCCGUAGGCGGAUCGUUAAGUCAGCGGUGAAAGCCCUCUGCUCAACAGAGGAACUGCCGUUGAUACUGGCGAUCUUGAAUGUGUAUGAAGUUGGCGGAAUGUGUGGUGUAGCGGUGAAAUGCUUAGAUAUCACACAGAACACCGAUUGCGAAGGCAGCUGACUAAUACAAUAUUGACGCUGAGGGACGAAAGUGUGGGGAUCAAACAGGACUAGAUACCCGCGUAGUCC